rnacentral:rRNA from 1 species
UGGGGAAUAUUGCACAAUGGGCGGAAGCCUGAUGCAGCGACGCCGCGUGGGGGAGGAAGGCCUUCGGGUUGUAAACUCCUUUCGACAGGGACGAAGCUUUUGUGACGGUACCUGUAUAAGAAGCACCGGCUAACUACGUGCCAGCAGCCGCGGUAAUACGUAGGGUGCGAGCGUUGUCCGGAAUUACUGGGCGUAAAGAGCUCGUAGGUGGUUUGUCGCGUCGUCUGUGAAAUUCCGGGGCUUAACUCCGGGCGUGCAGGCGAUACGGGCUGACUUGAGUGCUGUAGGGGAGACUGGAAUUCCUGGUGUAGCGGUGAAAUGCGCAGAUAUCAGGAGGAACACCGAUGGCGAAGGCAGGUCUCUGGGCAGUAACUGACGCUGAGGAGCGAAAGCAUGGGUAGCGAACAGG